ACAACAACAUUCGGACCGUCGGUCUACCGAGCAAUAUCAGCCGCUCGGUGGAAAAUCUUCCUUUCGUCGUCAAUU
rnacentral:pre_miRNA from 1 species